UUGGUUGAGUCCACUCAGUCUCUGCUGAGUCCCUUGGCCAAGGUGAGUUCCUAAUCAUUGGCUUGCAUAUUGCUUAUGGUAGAUUAUUGAAAGUUCACACCUUCAAAACUUUUCUGGUACUUGUGUUGCCCUUGAUUUGGUGUGGCUACAUAGAAAGCCUAGCUUUCUUCUAUUCAUCUCAUUGUUUCUUUGAAAAUAUGAAUUGUUUUCACAAGUUAGAGAACCUUUCAUUUCGGUUAACUUUGGGUCGAAGAUCAUUGUGAAGCUUUCUAUUCGUGUAUGUGUGUAUGUAUUGUUUAUGAAAUUCUUUUAAAAUCUCUUUUAAAUGUUGGGUCUUUAAUGACAAUUAAUAUGGUUUUCUUGAAACGGAUGGGCUUGCUGUAAGAACUUUCUAGGAGGGUGGAGAUAAGCCUGUUGAAGCAAAUAAUAUUGAGCAGUACGAUGUUGCCAUUGUCGGAGGAGGCAUGGUUGGCAUGGCUCUUGCUUGUACUCUAGGUAAUUAUUAUCACCCAUUGAUCGUCUUUUCAAUUGCAUAAACUUUCACUAUAUUGAAAUUAAGUCC
rnacentral:lncRNA from 1 species